rnacentral:rRNA from 1 species
ACGGGAGGCAGCAGCUAAGAAUAUUCCGCAAUGGACGAAAGUCUGACGGAGCGACGCCGCGUGGAUGAUGAAGGUCGGAAGAUUGUAAAAUCCUUUUAUAUAUGAAGAAUAAGCAUGGUGAGAGAAACGCCGUGUGGUGACCGUAGUAUAUGAAUAAGCAACGGCUAAUUACGUGCCAGCAGCCGCGGUAACACGUAAGUUGCGAGCGUUGUUCGGAAUUAUUGGGCGUAAAGGGCAUGUAGGCGGUUUUGCAAGCUUGGUGUGAAAUCUCGGAGCUCAACUCCGAAAUUGCGUUGAGAACUGCAUAACUAGAGUCACUGAGGGGCAAUCAGAAUUCCAGGUGUAGGGGUGAAAUCUGUAGAUAUCUGGAAGAAUACCAAUGGCGAAGGCAGGUUACCAGCAGAUGACUGACGCUGAGGUGCGAAGGUGCGGGGAGCAAACAGGAUUAGAUACCCUGGUA